rnacentral:lncRNA from 1 species
AGGCUCGGCGUUGGCCUCCGCGGCCCGUGCGAGUGCGCCCUUCUCGGGUCCCCUAGGUCGCGGGGCAGCCGGGGCGGAAGGGGCUUGUUCAUUAUUUUGAGAGUUUGUUGUGAACGUCAUAACCUUUCGUCCUUAAAUAUUGCCGAUACUUGACCUACGCAAGAGACAAUGUCAUGUGAUUCAGCCUAAUAUCUCAUUUCUUGUUGCCUAGAGCCAGUUCCCAAACUUUUGUUUGGGACACAGAACUCACCAUGGUGGUAGUACUGGUAGCAGCUGGGUGCCUCAGCCCCUGCAGGAUGGAGAUCCACUCUGGCAGACCUCCAGGACCCUUCACAUUCCACACCAUCUGAAAAAUCUCAAGAGAUGUAAGAAUUACAACUUAGCAUUCAUUGUGAGCUCAUCUUGCUUCCCAGUCAGAUGCGGGUAUAUGUAGAUUCCUGGAUACUCCAGGAUUGUGAACUACUCUAGGGAAAUCUCAGAGGCAAUUUGAUAUGGACUGUACCUUCCUGAAAGUUUGUUAAAAAUGCAGUAA